rnacentral:rRNA from 1 species
GGUUAAGCGACUAAGCGUACACGGUGGAUGCCCUGGCAGUCAGAGGCGAUGAAGGACGUGCUAAUCUGCGAUAAGCGUCGGUAAGGUGAUAUGAACCGUUAUAACCGGCGAUUUCCGAAUGGGGAAACCCAGUGUGAUUCGUCACACUAUCAUUAACUGAAUCCAUAGGUUAAUGAGGCGAACCGGGGGAACUGAAACAUCUAAGUACCCCGAGGAAAAGAAAUCAACCGAGAUUCCCCCAGUAGCGGCGAGCGAACGGGGAGCAGCCCAGAGCCUGAAUCAGUGUGUGUGUUAGUGGAAGCGUCUGGAAAGGCGUGCGAUACAGGGUGACAGCCCCGUACACAAAAAUGCACAUACUGUGAGCUCGAUGAGUAGGGCGGGACACGUGGUAUCCUGUCUGAAUAUGGGGGGACCAUCCUCCAAGGCUAAAUACUCCUGACUGACCGAUAGUGAACCAGUACCGUGAGGGAAAGGCGAAAAGAACCCCGGCGAGGGGAGUGAAAAAGAACCUGAAACCGUGUACGUACAAGCAGUGGGAGCACGCUUAGGCGUGUGACUGCGUACCUUUUGUAUAAUGGGUCAGCGACUUAUAUUCUGUAGCAAGGUUAACCGAAUAGGGGAGCCGAAGGGAAACCGAGUCUUAACUGGGCGUUAAGUUGCAGGGUAUAGACCCGAAACCCGGUGAUCUAGCCAUGGGCAGGUUGAAGGUUGGGUAACACUAACUGGAGGACCGAACCGACUAAUGUUGAAAAAUUAGCGGAUGACUUGUGGCUGGGGGUGAAAGGCCAAUCAAACCGGGAGAUAGCUGGUUCUCCCCGAAAGCUAUUUAGGUAGCGCCUCGUGAAUUCAUCUCCGGGGGUAGAGCACUGUUUCGGCAAGGGGGUCAUCCCGACUUACCAACCCGAUGCAAACUGCGAAUACCGGAGAAUGUUAUCACGGGAGACACACGGCGGGUGCUAACGUCCGUCGUGAAGAGGGAAACAACCCAGACCGCCAGCUAAGGUCCCAAAGUCAUGGUUAAGUGGGAAACGAUGUGGGAAGGCCCAGACAGCCAGGAUGUUGGCUUAGAAGCAGCCAUCAUUUAAAGAAAGCGUAAUAGCUCACUGGUCGAGUCGGCCUGCGCGGAAGAUGUAACGGGGCUAAACCAUGCACCGAAGCUGCGGCAGCGACGCUUAUGCGUUGUUGGGUAGGGGAGCGUUCUGUAAGCCUGUGAAGGUGUACUGUGAGGUAUGCUGGAGGUAUCAGAAGUGCGAAUGCUGACAUAAGUAACGAUAAAGCGGGUGAAAAGCCCGCUCGCCGGAAGACCAAGGGUUCCUGUCCAACGUUAAUCGGGGCAGGGUGAGUCGACCCCUAAGGCGAGGCCGAAAGGCGUAGUCGAUGGGAAACAGGUUAAUAUUCCUGUACUUGGUGUUACUGCGAAGGGGGGACGGAGAAGGCUAUGUUGGCCGGGCGACGGUUGUCCCGGUUUAAGCGUGUAGGCUGGUUUUCCAGGCAAAUCCGGAAAAUCAAGGCCGAGGCGUGAUGACGAGGCACUACGGUGCUGAAGCAACAAAUGCCCUGCUUCCAGGAAAAGCCUCUAAGCAUCAGGUAACAUCAAAUCGUACCCCAAACCGACACAGGUGGUCAGGUAGAGAAUACCAAGGCGCUUGAGAGAACUCGGGUGAAGGAACUAGGCAAAAUGGUGCCGUAACUUCGGGAGAAGGCACGCUGAUACGUAGGUGAAGCGACUUGCUCGUGGAGCUGAAAUCAGUCGAAGAUACCAGCUGGCUGCAACUGUUUAUUAAAAACACAGCACUGUGCAAACACGAAAGUGGACGUAUACGGUGUGACGCCUGCCCGGUGCCGGAAGGUUAAUUGAUGGGGUUAGCGCAAGCGAAGCUCUUGAUCGAAGCCCCGGUAAACGGCGGCCGUAACUAUAACGGUCCUAAGGUAGCGAAAUUCCUUGUCGGGUAAGUUCCGACCUGCACGAAUGGCGUAAUGAUGGCCAGGCUGUCUCCACCCGAGACUCAGUGAAAUUGAACUCGCUGUGAAGAUGCAGUGUACCCGCGGCAAGACGGAAAGACCCCGUGAACCUUUACUAUAGCUUGACACUGAACAUUGAGCCUUGAUGUGUAGGAUAGGUGGGAGGCUUUGAAGUGUGGACGCCAGUCUGCAUGGAGCCGACCUUGAAAUACCACCCUUUAAUGUUUGAUGUUCUAACGUGGACCCGU